GUAGACGGCCAUCUUAGGCUGAAAGCACCAUAUCCCGUCUGCUCUGUGAAGUUAAGCAGCCUCAAGCUCGGGUAGUACUCGGGUGGGUGACCACCCGGGGAAAGUCCGGGUGCUGUCUACU
rfam:Phytophthora infestans T30-4 supercont1.52 genomic scaffold, whole genome shotgun sequence.